rnacentral:rRNA from 1 species
UGGGGAAUAUUGCACAAUGGGGGAAACCCUGAUGCAGCAACGCCGCGUGAGUGAAGAAGUCAUUCGUGAUGUAAAGCUCUAUCAGCAGGGAAGAAAAUGACGGUACCUGAGUAAGAAGCCCCGGCUAACUACGUGCC